CUACGGGAGGCACCAGUGGGGAGUAUUGGACAAUGGGGGCAACCCUGAUCCAGCAAUGCCGCGUGGGUGAUGAAGGCCUUCGGGUUGUAAAGCCCUUUCGGCGGGGACGAUGAUGACGGUACCCGCAGAAGAAGCCCCGGCUAACUUCGUGCCAGCAGCCGCGGUAAUACGAAGGGGGCUAGCGUUGUUCGGAAUGACUGGGCGUAAAGGGCGCGUAGGCGGCGAUUUUAGUCAGGCGUGAAAGCCCUGGGCUCAACCUAGGAACUGCGUUUGAUACUGGAUCGCUUGAGUGUGGGAGAGGAUGGUGGAAUUCCCAGUGUAGAGGUGAAAUUCGUAGAUAUUGGGAAGAACACCGGUGGCGAAGGCGGCCAUCUGGACCACUACUGACGCUGAGGCGCGAAAGCGUGGGGAGCAAACAGGAUUAGAUACCCCAGUAGUC
rnacentral:rRNA from 1 species